rnacentral:rRNA from 1 species
AUUGAACGCUGGCGGCAGGCCUAACACAUGCACGUCGAACGAGUGGCGGACGGGUGAGUAAUGACUGGGAAACUGCCCGAUGGAGGGGGAUAACUACUGGAAACGGUAGCUAAUACCGCAUACCAUCGGCAGUGCACAGAUGGGAUUAGCUAGUAGGUGGGGUAACGGGUAACCUAGGCGACGAUCCCUAGCUGGUAGGAGAGGAUGACCAGCCAGACUGGAACUGAGACACGUUCCAGAGUCCUACGGGAGGCAGCAGUGGGGAAUAUUGCACAAUGGGCGCAAGCCUGAUGCAGCCAUGCCGCGUGUAUGAAGAAGGCCGUCGGGUUGUAAAGUACUUUCAGCGAGGAGGCGUUACUCGCAGAAGAAGCACCGGCUAACUCCGUGCCAGCAGCCGCGGUAAUAC